GGGGGUGACUUGGAUUCGACGCCGAUUGCGAACCCUUAGGUGCAUGUCGAGAAUGUGAUGAUUCUCGUAAAUCCCUCAUCACACAGUUAUAGUUGCAAACGACGAUAACUACGCUCUAGCAGCCUAAGCCUGCUAGCGCUGCCCUCUAAGGUGUCUAUAACUCAGAGUUUCGGCAGUGUCAUAUGAGAUAGAAUCGCCCGGAGACUUCGCCUUAAGGCAAAGGGUUAAAACUCAAAAAGGCUCGCCCAUAACAGCCUGACUCUCGGCUCGUGACGGGUUAACUCAAUAGAGAUGUCUAUGCAUGUAGAGCUUGAGGCAGAGGAUUGACGGACGCGGGUUCGAAACCCGCCACCUCCACCA
rnacentral:tmRNA from 16 species